rnacentral:rRNA from 1 species
AAAAAAGCCUGUAGCCUCCAGCGCGCGCUUCUUAAGUCUGAUGUGAAAGCCCCCGGCUCAACCGGGUAGGUCAUUGGAAACUGGGAGACUUGAGUGCAGAAGAGGAGAGUGGAAUUCCAUGUGUAGCGCUGAAAUGCGUAGAUAUAUGGAGGAACACCAGUGGCGAAGGCGGCUCUCUGGUCUGUAACUGACGCUGAGGCUCGAAAGCGUGGGGAGCGAACAGGAUUAGAUACCCUGGUAGUCCACGCCGUAAACGAUGAGUGCUAAGUGUUGGAGGGUUUCCGCCCUUCAGUGCUGCAGCAAACGCAUUAAGCACUCCGCCUGGGGAGUACGACCGCAAGGUUGAAACUCAAAGGAAUUGACGGGGGCCCGCACAAGCGGUGGAGCAUGUGGUUUAAUUCGAAGCAACGCAAAGAACCUUACCAGGUCUUGACAUCCUUUGACCACUCUAGAGAUAGAGCUUCCCCUUCGGGGGCAAAGUGACAGGUGCGUGCAUGGUUGUCGUCAGCUCGUGUGCGUCGAGAUGUUGGGUUAAGUCCCGCAACGAGCGCAACCCUUAUUGUUAGUUGCCAUCAUUUAGUUGGGCACUCUAGCGAGACUGCCGGUGACAAACCGGAGGAAGGUGGGGAUGACGUCAAAUCAUCAUGCCCCUUAUGACCUGGGCUACACACGUGCUACAAUGGGAAGUACAACGAGUUGCGAAGUCGCGAGGCUAAGCUAAUCUCUUAAAGCUUCUCUCAGUUCGGAUUGUAGGCUGCAACUCGCCUACAUGAAGCCGGAAUCGCUAGGUAAUCGCGGAUCAGCACGC